CCUACGGGUGGCAGCAGUAGGGAAUCUUGCACAAUGGGGGAAACCCUGAUGGAGCAACGCCGCGUGGGUGAAGAAGGUCUUCGGUACGUAAAGCCCUGUUGGUAGAGAAGAAAGUGCGUGAGCGUAACUGUUCACGUUUCGACGGUAUCUUACCAGAAAGCCACGGAUAACUACGUGCCAGCAGCCGCGGUAAUACGAAGGUGGCAAGCGUUAUCCGGAUUGACUGGGCGUAAAGGGAGCGCAGGCGGGCUUUUAAGUCUGAUGUGAAAGCCUGCGGCUUAACCGGAGUAGUGCAUUUGAAACUGGGAGACUUGAGUGCAGAAGAGGAGAGCGGAACUCCAGGUGUAGCGGUGAAAUGCUUAGAUAUCACGAAGAACUCCGAUGGCGAAGGCAGCUUACUGGACUGCAACUGACAUUGAGGCUCGAAAGUGUGGGUAUCAAACAGGAUUAGAUACCCUUGUAGUC
rnacentral:rRNA from 1 species